rnacentral:rRNA from 1 species
AUUGAACGCUGGCGGCAGGCCUAACACAUGCAAGUCGAGCGGGGUUUUCGGACCUAGCGGCGGACGGGUGAGUAAUGCGUAGGAAGCUACCCGAUAGAGGGGGAUACCAGUUGGAAACGACUGUUAAUACCGCAUAAUGUCUACGGACCAAAGUGUGGGACCUUCGGGCCACAUGCUAUCGGAUGCGCCUACGUGGGAUUAGCUAGUUGGUGAGGUAAUGGCUCACCAAGGCGACGAUCCCUAGCUGGUUUGAGAGGAUGAUCAGCCACACUGGAACUGAGACACGGUCCAGACUCCUACGGGAGGCAGCAGUGGGGAAUAUUGGACAAUGGGCGCAAGCCUGAUCCAGCCAUGCCGCGUGUGUGAAGAAGGCCUUCGGGUUGUAAAGCACUUUCAGCGAGGAGGAAGGGGUGAGUGUUAAUAGUACUCAUCUUUGACGUUACUCGCAGAAGAAGCACCGGCUAACUCUGUGCCAGCCGCCGCCGUAAUAC